UGCAGCCUACGGGGGGCAGCAGUGGGGAAUCUUCCGCAAUGGGCGCAAGCCUGACGGAGCAACGCCGCGUGAAUGAAGAAGGUCUUCGGAUCGUAAAGUUCUGUUCUUAGGGAAGGAGUCUUUUCUUGUGAAUAAUGGGAGAAGGUGACGGUACCUAUGGAGAAAGCUCCGGCUAACUACGUGCCAGCAGCCGCGGUAAUACGUAGGGAGCGAGCGUUGUCCGGAAUUACUGGGCGUAAAGGGCGCGUAGGCGGGAACUUAAGUUAGAUGUGAAAACUCCGGGCUCAACCUGGAGACU
rnacentral:rRNA from 1 species